rnacentral:snRNA from 1 species
AGCUUUUUGCAGUGGCAGUAUCAUAACCAGUGAGGUUCAUCCGAGGCACAAUUAUUGCUAAUUGAAAACUUUUCCUAAUACUCGCCAUGAUGACUUGAAAUAUAGUCAGCGUUGGCAAUUUUUGGCAGUUUCUAAGGGGA